CUUUUCCGAUCUAUUUUCUUAGCACAUUGAUCUACGCACAUUUUUUCCCUGCAUGAUACGUACCAGAUAACUAAUGGUAUUUGAUUAUUGCUCCUGCAGGCCUUCCACAGAAAGAAUGCAAUCAGGAACAAACUUUCAAUGACCAGUAAAAUUAUCAUUAGUUCCCUAGACUCAUGGGAUCUUUGUCAGAACUGUCUGGAUUAGAAUGUGGUUUUAAAUUCACAUGAAUUUCUAAUGCAGACAAAGAGGUUAUCAACUGGCUCCUUUUAAAAAAUCUUGAGGAAUUUCUACACUGGAAGUAUGGAUUAUACUAUUUGUGGCUGUUUGGGGGUUUGGCUUGGUAAGAGGAAGACGAUAGUCAUGGCAAAGUCGAUCAUAAAGUCAAGAGCUUUGUGGGCACCUGGUAAGCAUUCGGCUCACCUUGGAUGAGAAGUCAGUAUUUUGCUAGCAACUUCUCACCCCAAGUACUGAUUUCUGCUCUACCUAUAUUGCUACAUUAUGUACAGCAUUUAUUUUAAGAAAUAUUUUGCAUAUUACUUACCACCACUUCUAGAUGUUGCAGAACAACACUUAGUAGUUAGGGCAGUAGAUACGGCAAUCCACACAUCAUUAGCAAAUUGCCAUUAUUUAAGUCAUACCUCUCUCAUAAAGAACAGCAAUAUAAUGAGGUCGAGAUAAGGGACUGAGCUGAAGUAGAAAUAAAACACCAUAAAUAAUAGCAUAAAGGAAGUUAAAAUCAAUUUCAAUUUCUAAUGGAUCAUUUGGGAAUCUUCCAACUUUAAUAUCUAAUUUGCUUUCCCAGUGAGUAGAGCUAAA